UACAGAGGUCUCAAGCGUUGUUUGGAUUCAUUGGGCGUAAAGGGUGCGUAGGUGGCGCCGUAAGUCAGGUGUGAAAUCUCGGGGCUCAACCCCGAAACUGCACUUGAUACUGCGGUGCUCGAGUACUGGAGAGGAGAUUGGAACUGCGAGUGUAGAGGUGAAAUUCGUAGAUAUUCGCAAGAACACCAGUGGCGAAGGCGGCUCACUGGCCCGGUACUGACGCUGAGGUGCGAAAGCGUGGGGAGCAAACAGG
rnacentral:rRNA from 1 species